AUUAGAUAAAAAGCCAAUGCCCUUCCCGGGCUUUCUGGUGAUUCAUAAUAACUAAACGAAUCGCAUGGCCUUGCGCCGGCGAUGGUUCAUUCAAAUUUCUGCCCUAUCAACUUUCGAUUGUAGGAUAGAGGCCUACAAUGGUUUCAACGGGUAACGGAGAAUUAGGGUUCGGUUCCGGAGAGGGAGCCUGAGAAACGGCUACCACAUCCAAGGAAGGCAGCAGGCGCGCAAAUUACCCAAUCCCGACACGGGGAGGUAGUGACAAUAAAUACUGAUACAGGGCUCUUUUGGGUCUUGUAAUUGGAAUGAGUACAAUUUAAAUCCCUUAACGAGGAACAAUUGGAGGGCAAGUCUGGUGCCAGCAGCCGCGGUAAUUCCAGCUCCAAUAGCGUAUAUUAAAGUUGUUGCAGUUAAAAAGCUCGUAGUUGAACCUUGGGUCUGGCUGGCCGGUCCGCCUCACCGCGUGCACUGGUCCGGCCGGAUCUUUCCUCUUGGGGAUCCGCAUGCCCUUUACUGGG
rnacentral:rRNA from 1 species